UACGUAGGGAGCAAGCGUUGUCCGGAAUCAUUGGGCGUAAAGCGCGCGUAGGUGGCCCCAUAAGUCCGCUGUGAAAGUCAAAGGCUCAACCUUUGAAAGCCGGUGGAUACUGUGGGACUAGAGUACGGAAGAGGCGAGUGGAAUUCCUGGUGUGGCGGUGGAAUGCGCAGAUAUCAGGAGGAACACCAAUAGCGAAGGCAGCUCGCUGGGACGUUACUGACACUGAGGCGCGAAAGCGUGGGGAGCGAACAGG
rnacentral:rRNA from 1 species